GUGUCAGCAGCCGCGGUAAUACGGAGGGGGCAAGCGUUGUUCGGAAUUACUGGGCGUAAAGAGCGAGCAGGUGGUUCAUUAAGUCAAUUGUGAAAGCUCAAGGCUUAACCUUGAAAUUGCUUUUGAUACUGAUGAACUAGAGUUUGGGAGAGGAUAGUGGAAUUCUAAGUGUAGAAGUGAAAUUCGUAGAUAUUUAGAGGAACACCGAUAGCGAAGGCAACUAUCUGGCCCUUUACUGACACUCAGAAGCGAAAGCUUGGGUAGCAAACAGGAUUAGAUACCCUGGUAGUCCAUGCUGUAAACGAUGAGUGCUAGAUGUUAGAAGUUUACUUCUAGUAUCGAAGCUAACGCGUUAAGCACUCCGCCUGGGGAGUACGGCCGCAAGGCUAAA
rnacentral:rRNA from 1 species